UAGUCUUAACAACCAGAAACUCAGACUGUAAACGCUUAACUAAGUCAGUGCCUCGUACCUUUUGUAGCUGUUCCAUAAACUUGUAGAGAGGAGCUGUCAGCUGCCUGCAGGUAAUCUCUACCAUCUUCUGAUACUUGAGGCUUGGCAAAACUUGCUUGGAGCCUCUAGGGGCUAUAAGGAGUUUUGCCAUUCGAGCUAAAUCCUUGUACAGUUUUGUAGACAAUCUCAAGAAAUGUUCUGCUUGAGGAUCUGCAGUAAAUGGAGCAGGAUAUCAAAUUUAUCAGCUUGUGAAGAGAGAUUAUCGAUAAAAUAUUAAACUGUAAGUGGUAGUUCUCUUUCCCUAGUCGAUUGACAUACCUUUUAGGUUCAUCAAUACAAAAUUAGACAAGACCUUUAUAAUAGCUUCCACUCUGCAAUAAAGAGUCUCUUCCAAUACCAGCCCAGGUCCAAGACUUUUAUCGGGUUCCAGAGAUACGCCUUUCUGAGUAGCAGAAGAGUACGUCUUCAAUUUUGUUAUGAUCCAAUCCAUGUCAACAAUGUUGGACUCAACUAUCUGCAGUAUAGAAGAAGCUAUCGCCGCGCAAGUUGUUUUGUUAAUAACAUGGAAUGUUUCAGACAAAUCUGGAUCACUUUUCCCUAACCUGAGUACUUUCAGAAGUUCAGAAGCCAUUUCCUGGGAAACAGUCAAGUCAUUUGGAGGUAAGCUUAAGGAAACAACCAGAUAGACCCAACUUCUUGCAAGCUUGGGAUUUCGUAGAUCAAUGCUUUUGCAAAUAUGUAAAAUCCAUGCUCCAACAAGAUUCCGCCUUUCUGCCGGCAGUUGGUUGCCAAUGAUCAUCAAUAUAUCACAGACAAUCUGAGAGCAAAGCUUGCUUAAGAGAUUAUGUCUUCAGAAAAUUAAGUACCAAAGAUACAUCUAAUAAGGAAAAAACAUUUUGGAGAAGGUGAAGCCAUAACUAUCUAUUGCUCUGGGAAAAGGACACUUCCUAUCCUAUAUUAACCAAAACAUCUAAUUAAUAAGGACCAUUUGCAUGUUUCAAGGGCUUAACACAAGUGCACGAGAAUCUGCCACAGAGCAACAAACAAUGUCAAGUCUUCUUAUUUCUCUAAUUAUGCUACUUUUGCCUCAAGUCCGAGUUCAGGAGCUGCUCAAGAGAAAGGAAAGAGUAUUUUCAACUACUAUGGACAGUCAAUAGAAAAUAUCACUUAUCCCAUGUCAACAAAUAAACCAAUAUUGCAGCCUACAUACAGAACAGAAGAUACAAAAUUUCAUUCAAUCAAAAGUUUGAUAAGGAGUUUUAUCUCCACCAUUUUUAAAGGCUUUGCUUAGUCUGUGGAACAAGUUAAGACAAUCACAUGCCUCAAAAAAGGAGCAAUAUAUUGGUGUGCGAAACUUCAGUUAAUGGCAGGGCAGAGGAAAUUUGUGAUUAUAGGGGUCAAGCAUGAUGCUUUACUGACAAAAAUCAAUCAGUUUGACAAAAAGGUUAGAAUGCAUCUACCUCAACUUCACUGAAGAAAGAAGAUUUUAGAAGCUCGGAGAGCAAUGGCAUCAUGCUGUUUUUGAUGAACAUUUCUUUGCUCCUUGUAGCUUGAUUUUCUACACCUUCAGCUAAUUCGCAUUCAAUUCCUCGAUCAUAAUGCAGAAUAUCACUUGCUCCAUGCUCAACUUCAGAGGCUGACACCAAAGCUUCUAUUAGCUCACCAAUUUCAGAGCUACACAAACUUACAGUUAUCAAUUUCUUCAGGCAUAUCAAAGCUAAGUGUAUAUGCUCCUUUCUAUCAUC
rnacentral:lncRNA from 1 species